rnacentral:rRNA from 1 species
UAACAAAGAGAAGCAAAGCCGCGAGGUAGAGCAAAUCUCAAAAAAACAUCUCAGUUCAGACUGCAGGCUGCAACUCGCCUGCACGAAGUCGGAAUUGCUAGUAAUCGUAGGUCAGCAUACUACGGUGAAUACGUUCCCGGGCCUUGUACACACCGCCCGUCAAACCAUGAGAGCCGGUAAUACCCGAAGUCCGUAGCCUAACCGCAAGGAGGGCGCGGCCGAAGGUAGGACUGGUAAUUAGGGUGAAGUCGUAACAAGGUAAC